UUUCCGUAGGUGAACCUGCGGAAGGAUCAUUAUUGUAUAACCGAGGUGCGAGGGCUGUCGCUGACCCGAAAGGUCGUGCACGCCCGAGUGCCCUCACACACAUCCAUCUCACCCCUAUGUGCACCACCGCGUGGGUCCCCCUUUGGCUUGUUCGGAGGGGGGCUUACGUCUUCACACAAACUUUGUAUGCAGUGUAGAAUGUAUUUUUUGUUUUUGCGAUCACGCAAUCAAUACAACUUUCAACAACGGAUCUCUUGGCUCUCGCAUCGAUGAGAACGCAGC
rnacentral:misc_RNA from 1 species